rnacentral:rRNA from 1 species
CGUCAAGUCCUCAUGGCCUUUAUGACUAGGGCUGCACACGUCCUACAAUGGCGCGUACAAAGCGAUGCAAACUCGCGAGAGCCAGCAAAUCGCAAAAAGCGCGCCCCAGUUCGGAUUGCAGGCUGCAACUCGCCUGCAUGAAGCCGGAAUCGCUAGUAAUCGCGGGUCAGCAUACCGCGGUGAAUGUGUUCCUGAGCCUU